rnacentral:rRNA from 1 species
CGGACGGGUGAGUAACACGUAAGGAACCUACCGAUAANCGGGGGACAACAUCCGAAACGGGUGCUAAUACCGCAUAGGAAGUUUGUUCGCAUUAACAAACUUAGAAAGAUGGCUCUGCUAUCACUUAUCGAUGGCCUUGCGGUGCAUUAACUAGUUGGCGAGGUAACGGCUCACCAAGGUGAUGAUGCAUAGCCGACCUGAGAGGGUAAUCGGCCACAUUGGGACUGAGACACGGCCCAAACUCCUACGGGAGGCAGCAGGC